rnacentral:misc_RNA from 1 species
UUUGGAUGAUGUUUGGAAUGAUAAAUAUGAUAGCUGGGACAUAUUGAUGAGACCUUUGAAAUCUGUGGCGCAAGGAAGUAAGAUUGUUUUUACAACACCAAAUGUGGCAUCAGUUAUGCGUACAGUUGCAACUCACCAUCUCAAGGAAUUAACUGAUGAUGAUUGCUGGUCCUUAUUUGCGAAAUUUUCUUUUGAUGAUGGAAAUUCCAAAGUGCAUUCGGAUUUAGAAGUGAUUGGUGGAGACAUAGUAAAAAAGUGCAAAGGUUUACCUUUAGCU